CAGUGUUUGUUUACACUUCAGACCUACAAAAGUUGUGCCAAAAAGACGCAUCGUAAGUUUAUCGAAAAUAUUGACUUCGGCACAAGUUCUUCAUCCACAAAUUCUUCCGAUUCAGACUACUGAAUUCUUCUCUAAAACCAACAUAAAUAAUCUUUUUUUGGUAAAUUCUUUAAUUUUUUAAAUUUGUUUACCACAUUUGAUUGCUAAAAAUGUGUUUAAUUUUUUAGGAAAAUUUUUAUCAAAUUUUUAUCAAACAAAAAGUGCGUCACAAAAUUCCUACGAUAAGGAAAGCGUGUUAUCUGUUAACCGCAAAAAUUGAUUAUAAAAGUUCCGUUUUUUACACAUUUCACCAGUUUUAUUAAAACUAUCUUUGUGAGAAGUUGUAUGUGCUCCGCUGUGUAUUUUUGCAUUUAAAUUUCAAAGGAUUCUGUAAUGGCUGAUCAACUAUUAAAUCUGAAUAAAAUUGCUGCCUGUGAAUAUACUGAUACAUAUGUCAGUGCCAACGAUUUGGAAGUGAACAAGAAAUAUAAAAUCAUCAAUUUAACCAAGGCAAACACACAACAUGGGGUUAUGAUGGUAGCAUAUCUGGACAACGUCGGUAAAGUUUUUUUACCUAAACGACUAACAGCAGUUAUGAAUGAUACCAUAAUUACGACACUAAUGGAAGGACUCGGAUCUUAUUUGAUUUAUAUGGGACGUAAGCAAGCUAAUGGAAAUCAGGAACAUGAUGCCCACAUUUUUAAUUUCGAACGUAUUGUUCACGAAGAUUAAUGUAAAAUUUUUUGGUUUCCAAAAUAGACAGCACUAUCCACUCUACCUACCUGAGGUUCGACUCCCCAUGGAAGGAACAACAACAACAACAACUUUUUUUGCAUUAUAUUUUAAACAAAUAACAAAAUAAACUUGGUGCGCAACAGACAAGUUAGGCAAACAACAUUACAAAAAUAAAAAACUACAUAUACUA